rnacentral:piRNA from 1 species
UGUCCAAAAAUUCAGAAUCCA